UACGAAGGGUGCAAGCGUUACUCGGAAUUACUGGGCGUAAAGCGUGCGCAGGCGGUUUUGUAAGCCAGAUGUGAAAGCCCCGGGCUCAACCUGGGAAUGGCAUUUGGGACUGCAAGGCUUGAGUGCGGCAGAGGAGACUGGAAUUCCUGGUGUAGCAGUGAAAUGCGUAGAUAUCAGGAGGAAUACCGAUGGCGAAGGCGCCACUCUGGGCCGAAACUGACGCUGAGGAGCGAAAGCGUGGGUAGCAAACAGG
rnacentral:rRNA from 1 species